UUAGUCUUCAUAGAGUUUUACUGCCGUGGGUUUUCUGAGCCGUUAAACGACCCCGGACAACAUCUGAGAAAGCUGCAAGAAGAAAACCCACGCCUACAAUGGGAGAACAUGCAAACUCCACUCAGGAAGGACAGAGCUGAGAUUCAAACCCAGAACUCGGAAGCAGUUGUAAUUUAACAUGAGCAUGUUUAGUCAAAUGAAGGGACAAUCUGACCAGCACGUGAUUUCUCACAAGCUCUUGCAAAAGUUCCAAGACACAGGUGUCCAAUCCUAAGGCUCGGGGCCCAGAUCUGCCCCACCACAUGAUUUUCUGUGGCCCGCGAAGGCAAAUCGUGUGAGUCAACUUCCAUGAUGCGUGUUCAAACCUGGACCAAAAUUUAAAAUUGUCAAAUUAUAAAGGAGAUAUUGAGAUGUGGGAAACAUCUUUGUGUUACCAAACGUGAACAGAAGUUGAAAACCCCAUUACCCCUGAUUUCCGAUUCCAAAACUUGUUCAUAAAUUUUAUGUGUAAAUAAGAAGAGAUUUUUAUGAUUUCGCAGUCAACGGUUGUCUGAGGGGAAACUGGAGCGACAAUGUGGCCCUGCUCGAAGAGCUUUUCUUCGGGCACAUUCAGUCUCAAUUGUCAGUGGGGAGAACCCGAGCAAAAACUGCAAACGAAGCCUUGAAGUCCCUUUGAAUAUCGGGUCUGGCCGGAGCAGGAACCGAAGUCACAGGGAAAAGGGUGCCCCACACGGUGAGUGAAGUGACCAGGCUUCGUCAGACACCCCAGGAGGAGAGCCCCUCGUGGGACACCACGGGAAAGUAUUUGGUCUUCAUCCAGUAGUGAAAGUUAUACUCGCCUGACACGCGUGAGGUCCGUGUUUGAAACACGACUGUUCGAUUUUUUUGUUUUUCAUAAAGAGCCCGACGGGGAAAAAAGAAACCACUUGACAACUCCCCGUCGGGGAAUCGAACCACGGUCUUCCGCGUGACAGGCGGAGAUACUGUCCACUAUACUAACGAGGAACUGUUUGUAUUAUGUUGUUUUAGUCCAUAGCUUCUUAUUAUGUGAGCUGCUCUACUAAUAUUUGAUUGGUUUUGAGGAACUGAGAAGUUUGGCCAUUCAGUGUUUCCGUUGUCCUCAGUCUCAUGCUUUUGACUGCUCGUGUUUCGGCUUGCCACUCAUGACAAAACACGCAGCUCCCGUGUAACUCAAACAGAGACAAGCGUUCCCGUGGUGAACACGGAACGAGCAGUCAUCAAGAACGCCUGCAGCCUCCUCACAAGGACCUGACAGCCCUCGCGAGGCUCCAGUCGGCGGCCCGUCACUUUAAAUAUCUCUGCCCAAAGGAUCAUGGGUAAUGACACUCAUUUCCCCUCUCACUCUGCUGUGGAUGCUCGAUCGUGCUUCAGCAAAUCUUGUUGAAUUUGGACAGAAUGUUGUGAGCCCUCGACUUUUUUGGACUAAAACAUCAUUUGUGGAGUCUUCGUGUCCAGUUGGAGUCGUCUCGUUCAUGUUGACCUUUCUGGUCUGAGUUUAGCUUAGCUUGCUAGCAAAGAGACGCAUUUUGUGAUUACUUUGCUGAAGAGGAAAGAGAAAGCAUGAGUUGCAUGCCUGAUGGUUGGGGUCUGCAUGAUGGGACUUGAGAUGUGAGGUGGGGAGCCUCAGAGGUGACGUUUGCAGCCAGACUCUCUCGAGUGCAAGAGUACCAAGAAAGAGUGAAAGAAAAGAUGCAAACUAAGCAUGUGGCGAGCUGUUUGCCAGGGAAUUUCAUUUUUAGUUAUUGGUAGGUGUUUUAGAUGAUAGAUUCUACUUGUUGGAACGGUGGCUCAGCUGGAAAAGCGUUGGCCUCACUGUUCUGAGGUACUCGGUUCAAUCCCGGACCUCCCCGUGUGGCGUUUGCAUGAUCUCCCCAUGCCUGCGUGGGUUUUCUCCGGGGAUUCCGGUUUCCUCCCACAUCCCAAAAACAUGCAACAUUAAUUGGAGAUUCUAAAUUGCGCCUUGGUGUAUUAUGUAGGACUUGAUGUUAAUAUCCUUCUGUUCAAGCCUAUUUUGGCUCCGAUGAGGCUCUGUGGGAUGUUCAAAUAAGUGAUGGCACCCUUCGGGUUAUUAAGUGGGUUUCCUUCCGUCAUCAAGUGUUUCGCUGAUAGGCCCACGCCACUCUCGAGAGGGUUCAGCAGUGAAUUCCAUCGUCCCAGGUUCACCUCCUCGGUGCCAUCAAUUUCUCUUGAAGGCCCAAUUGGGGUCUU